rfam:Ectocarpus siliculosus strain Ec 32, whole genome shotgun sequence assembly, unassigned sequences LGTn
CCGAAACUGGGCCGGAACCAAGCGGCAUCCAACAUUGGUCUCAGCCGUGCUCGCCGCGACUGACCCCAAUCUCCUGAACUGCGGGUGUAGAGCAGUAGCUGAUGCCACUAGCUACUGCUGGCACUCCGUCCGUUCAGGGGCUUACGGUCCGUGGCGGUGAGUAUGGCUGUGAAAAAUAUUGGAUGCCGCUUGGUUCCGGCGUAGAUCUCGG